GAAUGCUUAUGACACACUCUGUAGACACUUGAAAAGCAAGGGAAGAGAAGAUUAGCGUGGCCCCUGCGAAAGGAUGACACACAAAUNCCUGAAGCAUACUGUGUUUAA
rnacentral:snRNA from 1 species